UUCGUUAAACUCCAAACAGACAAACUCACAUCAGUGAUCGAGCUCCGUCUCCGGGGUGGAGUCCUCUGCGGGGAAUCGGAGCUCCGUCUCCGGGGUGGAGUCCUCUGCGGGGAAUCGGAGCUCCGUCUCCGGGGUGGAGUCCUCUGCGGGGAAUCGGAGCUCCUGUCCGGCCUGAGCUGCUGCUGCGGCCCGCUGCCUCUGACGCGGAGUGUCACCAUGGUACCAAGCUAACGACCGUUAGCUUACCGGAACAUCCUACUGCAGCCCUCCACCUACUCAAGAGCGGCGGCGGCUUUGGUGAGAACGGCGGCGGCUUUGAUGAGAGCAGCUUUGGCGAGAGCGGUAGCCUUUGGUGUAUUCUUUAAGGACCUGGACCCCAUCCCACUUCCUCUUGGUCGGGACGGCCGCUUCAAUUGGGGCGACCCAGACUUGGUUGACGUCGUCAAAGGACAGGAAGUCGUUUCCAUCGUAGGCGUACUUGUCUAUGCCGCGGCGGAACCUAAUCGUGCCGUCAGGCUGCGUGUCGCCCUCACAGCCGUGCAUCCACUGAAGAACAUGGACGUCUGAAACCGGAGGAUGUCGAUGUUGACGUUGAACCACUGCUGUUUGCUCAGGCGGGACUGUGUUCCUUUCUCCCAGUAAUCUGCAGCCAGUCUCUCUUUCAUCCAGUCCUGUUUGGGAACUUUCUGCUGGUGCUCGCUGUCAAAGUAGUCGAUCAUCCUGCCGUCCAGGUGACCCAUGGCUGUGAACUGGUGGAUGCCCGGGAGUCCGACAGGUUUGGAGAGAGCCGUGUAGGUGUAAAAGAGGGAAUGUGUCUCUGAGAGUCACACAGACAGACAGAUAUUUAUUAGACAAGGCAGAUAAUUCAUUAGACCCUGUGGGGAGAGUGGUUUAGUUUUAAAAAUGUUCAAGUGAUUAUAAUGAACAGUAGAAAUACAAGUUACUGUGGCAGAGACGAGUUUUUGGUAUUUCUGUUUUGUUUGGUAUGAACAUAAAUUGAACUGUAAGUGACAUUAACAUUACUCCUGAGCUCAGUCUAACCGAUUUAGGACAAAGGACUCAGGACAAAAGAAAGUAAAAUGUAGAUUCUCUCAGUUUCUGUAUUCUCAUUCUGACUUCCACCAGAUCAGACAUUAGGCCUAUUAUUUACUCAGUUAAGCUGCUUCCUUCCUGUCUCCCAGUAAUUGAGAAGUUGUGUCGCAUUUGAAUCAAGGUUCAGUUUUUGUUCGGCAAAAAUGUCAGGUUUACUUUUAUUUAGUUAACACUGACACAUAAAGGUUCAUGUUCAAGUCACUAUAUUAUUAAAUCUUUAAUGAAUCAA